rnacentral:rRNA from 1 species
AUGAAAAGCACUUUGAAAAGAGGGUGAAAAGAACCUGAAACCGUCACGGGGGAAGCGGAUUGCGUUGGCCUGGUGGGCGCCUGUGUGUUCAGCCUUUGGGUGCAUUGGCAUAGGUGCUUAUCCGUCGUGAGUUUUUGGGGAUCGAAUUUGGAUCCCUGGGGGCUGAGGGCUCCCUUCGGGUGAGGACGGCGGAGCGACGACGCGAUACGACCCGUCUUGAAACACGGACCAAGGAGUCUAGCGCGGGUGCGAGUCAGAGGGUGCAAGCCCGUGGGCGAAGUGAAAGCGAGUUUGAAAACGAGCAGUUUGGGGCGGCAUAAGAUCGUUGAUUUUAAGACCGACCCGGAGCAGUUGCGCUGGGACCCGAAAGAUGGUGAACUAUGCCGGAGUAGGGCAAAGCCAGAGGAAACUCUGGUGGAGGCUCGUAGCGGUGCUGACGUGCAAAUCGCUCGUCCAACUUGGGUAUAGGGGCGAAAGACUAAUCGAACCAUCUAGUAGCUGGUUCCCUCCGAAGUUUCUCUCAGGAUAGCGGGCCGACAAGUUGUUUUGUGC